rnacentral:rRNA from 1 species
AUUGAACGCUGGCGGCAGGCCUAACACAUGCAAGUCGAACGAGUGGCGGACGGGUGAGUAAUUUCUGGGAAACUGCCUGAUGGAGGGGGAUAACUACUGGAAACGGUAGCUAAUACCGCAUACCUUCGGAUGUGUCCAGAUGGGAUUAGCCAGGAGGUGGGGUAAAGGCUCACCUAGUCGACGAUCCCUAGCCGGUCUGAUAGGAUGACCAGCCACACUGGAACUGAGACACGGUCCAGACUCAUACGGGAGGCAGCAGUGGUGAAUAUUGCACAAUGGGCGCAAGCCUGAUGCAGCCAUGCCGCGUGUAUGAAGAAGGCCUUCGGGUUGUAAAGUACUUGCAGCGGGGAGGCGUUAACCGCAGAAGAAGCACCGGCUAACUCCGUGCCAGCAGCCGCGGUAAUAC